rnacentral:tRNA from 1 species
GGAGGGGUGUCCGAGCGGUCUAAGGAGCACGAUUGGAAAUCGUGUAUGUGCUGAAAGGUGCAUCGAGGGUUCAAAUCCCUCUCCCUCCG